AGGACGAACGCUGGCGGCGCGCUUAACACAUGCAAGUCGAACGUGAAGCCCGGGCUUGCCCGGGUGGAAAGUGGCGAACGGGUGCGUAACACGUGAGCAACCUGCCCCGAAGACCGGGAUAACAGCGGGAAACCGCUGCUAAUACCGGAUGCCCUCAUCAUGUCGCAUGGCGAGAUGAGGAAAUGGAUUCCGCUUUGGGAUGGGCUCGCGGUCUAUCAGCUUGUUGGUGGGUAACGGCCUACCAAGGCGACGACGGAUAGCUGGUCUGAGAGGACGAUCAGCCACACUGGGACUGAGACACGGCCCAGACUCCUACGGGAGGCAGCAGUGGGGAAUCUUGCGCAAUGGGGGAAACCCUGACGCAGCGACGCCGCGUGCGGGAUGAAGGCCUUCGGGUUGUAAACCGCUUUCAGCAGGGACGAAAUUGACGGUACCUGCAGAAGAAGGCCCGGCCAACUACGUGCCAGCAGCCGC
rnacentral:rRNA from 1 species